UAGAGUUUGAUCAUGGCUCAGAUUGAACGCUGGCGGCAGGCCUAACACAUGCAAGUCGAGCGGAAACGAGAAGUAGCUUGCUACUUCGGCGUCGAGCGGCGGACGGGUGAGUAAUGCCUGGGAAAUUGCCUUGAUGUGGGGGAUAACCAUUGGAAACGAUGGCUAAUACCGCAUAAUGCUUUUGUUUGUAAUGAACGGGAGCCAAAGAGGGGGACCUUCGGGCCUCUCGCGUCAAGAUAUGCCCAGGUGGGAUUAGCUAGUUGGUGAGGUAAUGGCUCACCAAGGCGACGAUCCCUAGCUGGUCUGAGAGGAUGAUCAGCCACACUGGAACUGAGACACGGUCCAGACUCCUACGGGAGGCAGCAGUGGGGAAUAUUGCACAAUGGGCGCAAGCCUGAUGCAGCCAUGCCGCGUGUAUGAAGAAGGCCUUCGGGUUGUAAAGUACUUUCAGCAGUGAGGAAGGUGGAUGUGUUAAUAGCACAUUCAUUUGACGUUAGCUGCAGAAGAAGCACCGGCUAACUCCGUGCCAGCAGCCGCGGUAAUACGGAGGGUGCGAGCGUUAAUCGGAAUUACUGGGCGUAAAGCGCAUGCAGGUGGAUGAUUAAGUCAGAUGUGAAAGCCCGGGGCUCAACCUCGGAAUAGCAUUUGAAACUGGUCAUCUAGAGUACUGUAGAGGGGGGUAGAAUUUCA
rnacentral:rRNA from 1 species